GUGCCAUUGUACUCCAUGCAGUUCUGAGGCUGCAGCCUAUGUUGGAACAACUGAGAGAAGGCCUGCAGCUGUAUGACCUUCUUUCGCUAAUCAGGCAGUACCCAGGUAUCUGCCAGCCCCUGUUUGUUCCCGGUGAAGAUGUAAAAGUUAAUGCAGAGUUUGUCAUGGCAUCCAUUCUUCCUCAACUGAGUGACAAAGGGACUUCCAGGCAUCAGAUUGAGCUGGAGAUGAUUAUGAAGUUGAACGUAUACAGUUGUUAAUGUUCUGCAAAUCAAAUAUUCGAAAGCUCAGUAAAAUUUUAUGUUUUCAUGACAUUUGGAGCUGUAAAAUUUUCCGGUACCACCUGUAAUUAUGCUGGUAUUGAAUAUGUUAACGUUAUUUUCUACCUGAAAAUUUUUGAUAAUGGUAAUAGGUAUUAUGGACCAGGGUAGCACUUUUUUUGAAUACAAGGCUGUAAUCACAAUGAGUAUACAUACAGAGAACAUACAUACAAAUGAUUGUUUCCCUAAACCCAUUGUUCUUAAUGAAAGCCUUUACAAAUCUAUCACUUUUCUAUGUAGAAAUUAUUAUCAUUAUUGCCAAUAAUGAAAGUAUACAUAAUGGCAUAUAUUCAUUGUGUUUGGCUCAGAUGGUCAUCUCUAAAUCAUUUAGAAAUUUGACUUCUUCUGUGGCUGAGUACCUUUGUCUAAUUCACUCUUUUAAUUGCAGUAAGGAAUAACAUUUGCAAUGGUCACAUAACACUUGUUGUUUUAUCCGUUUGCUUCAUAGCUGAAGACCAGGGGCAUGUAGAUGACCAAGAUGGCCUACAUUCCAUCACACCUGCCAGGUUUCUCCAGUGGAUCACAGGCCAAGGUCACAUCCCACAUCUUCCCUCAGAGAAGUUUUGUCGUUUUGCUGUAACGAUCAAGUUUAACCAUGACUGUAGUGCAGACUUUGGCCAUCACAGUGUUUGUUACCCCGUUGUGUCAACAUGUGCCAAGAAUAUUGUACUACCUGUAAAACAUAUGAGGCCUUAUGACCAAUUCAAAAAGGUUCUAAUUGAGGCUUUUCAUCUGGGCCAACAGUUUAACAUGGUGUAAAUAUUUACCAUCAACUGAUGGUACCUUUUUCUAGGUUGAACUACAACCUACAGUAAAUGAUAAAUGUUUAGCACCA